AGUGAACGCUGGCGGUAGGCCUAACACAUGCAAGUCGAACGGCAGCACAGGAGAGCUUGCCCUCUGGGUGGCGAGUGGCGGACGGGUGAGGAAUACAUCGGAAUCUACCUUUUCGUGGGGGAUAACGUAGGGAAACUUACGCUAAUACCGCAUACGACCUCCGGGUGAAAGCAGGGGACCUUCGUGCCUUGCGCGGAUAGAUGAGCCUAUGUCGGAUUAGUUAGUUGGCGGGGUAAAGGCCCACCAAGGCGAGGAUCCGUAGCUGGUCUGAGAGGAUGAUCAGCCACACUGGAACUGAGACACGGUACAGACUCCUACGGGAGGCAGCAGUGGGGAAUAUUGGACAAUGGGCGCAAGCCUGAUCCAGCCAUACCGCGUGGGUGAAGAAGGCCUUCGGGUUGUAAAGCCCUUUUUUUGGGAAAGAAAAGCAACCAGUUAAUACCUGGUUGUUCUGACGGUACCCAAAGAAUAAGCACCGGCUAACUUCGUGCCAGCAGCCGCAGUAA
rnacentral:rRNA from 1 species